GCAACCGCCAGCCCCGACCCUCCUCCGCCCGCUUCGGCCUUAUAUUUAAUACAUGCCCUUUCAUCUAUUAUUCAGGCUGCUCUGACUCCAGCUCUGUCUCGCCUCCCAUUUACGCCUGCACACCUUUCUCCUUCCCCUUCCCGAAGGGUCAGCCGAGACACUCGCCGAGGGAGGGACAGAGCUGCUCUGCUGGUUUGGGUCUUGUCUGCUUAAACAUUGAACUGGAAAAGAUUCCUCCUCUCUGUGGUUUGAUAAAUAAUAAAAGUGAUCGUUUCGCCUUCCCCAUAAAUGACACAGAUGGAGGGACACUGUGAGUCUGACUGCUCCCUGUCCAGAGCUCAAGAGGCAGCAUACACAACAGAGGUCGAUGAAGAGAAAUGGACACCUCAAGGGAAUGAUUCUUCCCAUCCUAAGACUGGUAUCUAGGAUAGGUCAGAUGGAUGGCCCUUUGGAGGUACCAGUUUCUUUCCAGUUACUAUCAAGGGAACUUAGAGUGACUGGCUCACUCUUACAUCUGUAACUUUUAGAUUUCUGAAGGUAUGUGACAUAAUUUGUUCUUCCUUAUCAUAACAUUGUCUGAGGAUAUGAAUAAUUAAUUCUCUUCAGAAAAUAUUACCUUGAAGACAAUAGUGUUUUGACUGAGACCCAAAAUGUUAAAGUGUACAUAUAUUGGGAAGGUUUUGUGCUGCUCUAGCAGAAUCUUGGGACAUCUGAUGAAGCAAGUACAGUGAGCACUGGUGCAUAUAGAAGCAUUAUCUGUACUUUUGGACACAUGGAACCAGGAUUUUAUACAGGAAAAAAAUAAAGAUUUAAAAUGUAUUAAUGGAAUUAAUCUCACUUAACAUUAGAAAUCUACACUGGAGACAUCUAUAUGAAUGUAGCCUCUUUAGGCUUCUUUUCUAAUCAAGGUACAAAUAUAAGACCUUUCAAGGUACAAUACUUCUGACCUAUUUUAGACACUCACUUUAAAAUGAGAUGAACAGUGGUCUGAAAGUUUCUGGUUUUCUCCACUGAUUUUAAAGCAAGACCAGUGAGUGUGAUUAACUCAAGAGCAGAUAUCAAAAUUAUUUCUCUGUUAUUCAUGGAUGGAUGAGGAGAAGCAAAUAGUAUCAAAUGGCUCCAAGGGGCCAAAAAGUUGUGCUGUAAAUGUGAAGUCUCUAAACUGUUUAGUGACCCUCAGUUCUUUAGUGUUACAUAAUGCUAAUGUGUUGCUGUGACAUCAUUUAAGAGCUCUGACAUUGUACAAAUAUUUAUGGCACUGUUGUGACAUUGAUUGAUAAAAAAGUCAAUUUCAGCUAUGUAGAUACAAUUAUUCCACACACUGUUACCUAUUAUAUAUUUUUUUUUAAAAGAGGGCUUACAACUAAUUUACAAUAAUGGUGGAAAAUUAAUAAUGGGAUGCUGAGAACAUUUUGUUAACAUCUCAAGAUUUUGAAUAUAGCCACACAUUAUCAUGAAUACAUUUAUUUAUGAAAUUGUUUUUGCAUUUUUUGCAGUCUUGAGAUUAGAAAUGUUUUCUCUAUGAAAGCUUUUUUAUUUUUUAGUGCUAUAUGCUUUUUAUUCUGUAUGGGUUGUUGUUAUAUUUGUUCAUCCUAAAUUUGAGGAACGUAUUGCUUUUAUUAUUCUAAAAUCUUUCACCAGCUUGAAAUGGAUGAGAACAUUGGCACAGUAUUAAUUUUUAUUGUUUGCUUGGAGUUCAUAUAGAUAUAUAAAAAUACUUAUGAAUAAAAUG